CGGCGGCCGUUUGAACGGGGCUGGGAGCGAUCCCGCGGCGGGAUCGGGACCAGGGCAGGGAUUCGGGGAUCGCAUCCCACAGCAGCCACUGGCGUAGAGUCCCCUCGGAGUCGAGAAAACGGGGUGCACCUGUCCCCAUCUGAGCGGCAGCCGGCGGCAGGAAGGGACCCAAUAACCCGCGGCUCCAGCGGCGAAGGGGCGGGUUGGUGAAGGAGGCGCUCGGAGGUGCCUCAGACAGGUGUGCCCGGCCUUUGAAGCCCGGGAACAAAGGGAGACAGACCUGACAAGAAAUGGGAAGAGGGGAGGACAGUACACACAAAAGUGAACACCGGUUAAGAGAUGCCUGAGGAGUAUAAGAUUCAAAAAAAAGGGAAAAAUUAACCAAAUCUAUUGGACUUUACUACAGAACCUGAAAAGAUUUUGUGAUCUUUGCAGAAGAUUGAGAUCUUUAAUUGUUAACACAUACUUGUAGAAGUCCUUUGUAUGUGGGGUAUUUCAUUUCAGUCUCUGUCUGUGCACUGGAAACCUGAAAUGGAACUGAACCUAUCAGUCACGAGGUGCAGAAGAAUGCUUACCUUUUUCUGGGCUUUUUGUUUUGUUUUUUUUCCAGUAUCCAGAGCAGGAUGUGUGUCCUAGAAUUCACUGUUGCUGUUAUGUCCAUAAGAUAACUUCUAAAUUUUAAUAUUACUUAACUUCAGUAAUUUGUCUCAUUUUUAUCCAGUCCAGGAAAUUGUUUCUUAAUAACUCCUUCCCAAGCUGAAAUGCUUACAGUAUACCAGAAUUUUCAGGAAAAACAAAAACACAGAGCAAAAGAAAAAGCUCUUUGGAAAAACAGAGGAUCCUGCUCCUUUACUCCAACCUUCACCUUCUCGUUCUGCUGUUUUUAACUCUGUCAGUCUAUCCCAGGGAGACUUCUACCAACAUGAGGUAUCUCAGUUGACUUACAUCCCAGUUUUGUUAUCUCUCUCAUGCAGUUUUAUGGGAAAAUCUUCUGAAGG